rnacentral:rRNA from 1 species
UACGUAGGGGGCAAGCGUUGUCCGGAAUCAUUGGGCGUAAAGCGCGCGUAGGCGGCCCGGUAAGUCCGCUGUGAAAGUCAAAGGCUCAACCUUUGAAUGUCAGCGGAUACUGCCGGGCUAGAGUCCGGAAGAGGCGAGUGGAACUCCUGGUGUAGCGGUGGAAUGCGCAGAUAUCAGGAAGAACACCAACGGCGAAGGCAGCUCGCUGGGACGGAACUGACGCUGAGGCGCGAAAGCCAGGGGAGCGAACGGG